UGUAUUGUAUUCUGAUAUCGUUCUACAACCCAAACAGUACGCAUUUCUUCCGAUGCUCUUUCUACAAGAUCUAAUCUUCAAAUUUCUGGGAAAUUAUCUUCUAAAUUUUUUAAUUGUACCCUCUGUUUAUCCAAUUUGGAUAUUUCUAUUUCAAUUGACUCAGUUAUUGUUCCCACCCGUUAAAUCUGCAAAAUUCUAGGGUUUCGCUUUCAAUCGAUCUUUAAAUAUAGCCUUCAUAUCUGUAAAUUGUUUGGAUUUUUUUUAAAGAUUUUACGUGGGUUUCCUUCCCCUUUAGUUAUAGAUAGAAUUUGUUAUUUUGCUUGGAGACGUUCUGAAACCUAGGGUUUCGAUUUCGAGGAUUUAUCUUAGGGUUCAUCAUAUUUGUAAAUUGACUUGGGGUGUCGGUAUGUCUCUUUCUGAAUUGGAUUUUCAUAGCUUCAUGCUCUGUAUUUUAAGGAAUAUAUGAAUCUAGGUUAGGGAUUUUUGAUAAAUUGGGGAUUUUUUUUUAGCCCCAUUUUAUUGAAAUAAAUUUAUUUGUUUUCAGCUGCCAAUCGGUUGAUGGGUUUGACGUCAAUUUUUUUGUGCAUAAAUUAUUUUUUUAAAAUGGAAAAUGUAGUUCAAUCUCUCCCACUGUUAUUUAUUUAUUCCUGAAAAGGUAUGUCCUUUGAUUUAAAAUUCUUUCUUUAAUUAUGUCCUUUGAUUUUUAAUUCUUUCUUUAAUAAUACUUAACGUUUAUUUAUCAUGUAAUGUUCUCUAAUGUAUUACAGUAAAAACCAGUUUACUGUAAAUUUUUGCUUCCAGUAUUGGCAAUAACUAAUUGUGAUUUUGAAAAAUAAAAUAAAAUCUGUUGCGGUGUAAACUAAAUAUUAGUUUUUCAAAAAGUAUAAUGAACUUCACAAUUUUUUAUGAUUGUAAAGGAUGCGCUUCUUAAAGUUGAAACUAAUUUCAGUGCUGCAUUUUUAGUGGUAUGACUGGUAAUCCACAUGACAUCAAAGCAAAUUCAUGUUUUCUUGUUACAUUUUUAUGAUAUGUGGGUUUUUGGGUAGAGGUUCAUUUGGAGUGUAACAUCAGGUUUUAUUAGCAUUCUACUUAUGAUGCCAGCUUCAAAGUUCUUUCCUUCGUUUUCCACAUGAUUAAUCAACAAGGUAUAACAUAUCUUGCUGCAUAUGUUUACAUAUAUGAAUGUAAAGCAUAACUGUCUACACUUGUGUUUUAACAUCAUGAAUGUAUGUAUAUGUGUCAGUCUUGUAAUCUUAUCUGUUCGUUCUCUUCAAUAUCUUUUCUCUUAAAUAUGUCAGAUUUGAAACUUACAGGAGCACCCAGACAUUCAUUAUGUCUCUAUGGAUAGAAAAGAUGGGAGCCAAGCGGCCAUUUCAAGAGGACAACUUUCCGGAGCUUUCUUUCAAGCAAGUUAAACAGUUUGGUUUUAAUAAAAAUUUAAAAUCAUAUGUUGAGGAUUUUCCUUCUCAUGUAACUUCUCCAAAAUCUGAUUUUAACGGUAAUUUAUGCGGUAAAAUAUGCCAUUUACUUUCUGCAUACACCGAUAUAUUUUAUAUAUAAAACAUUAUGUUCAUCAAGUAAGGCGUCUCUAUUGAGAAGCUUCUUGAUGACAUUUUUCUUUUGAUUCAUAGAUGGAAAAAAUAAGCAGGUUUUUUACUAUGAUACCGUUUCUUUUGACUUGUGUAAUUAGUAACUUUGCCAGUCUCAGGUGAAGUUUCUCUGCUUCAAAUUAAGCAUUUUUCAGUAUGGCAUGAUGUCAAGUCAUGCAAUAUUUGACCUCACAUUUUUAAUCAUAUAUUGUACCAUAGGUGAAGCCAAAAGCAACUUUUCUAAAACCAAUUUGAUGAGAAGCACAGAAAUGUUGACAUCUAUGGCUACUCUGAUAUGGUUCACAAGGAGUUCGAGAUAGACAAGGAGUCCGAGAUGAGUACACCCUUAUCAUGGGUAGCAAACAGCAGUACUGACAAAGAUUCUGCUUUUGAGGACAAAUUUUGUUGGUCUCACUUUCAAGAUUAUUUCGACUUUAGUGUUCCAAGAUGACUCUGAUAUGGCUCACAAGGAGUUCGAGAUAGACAAGGAGUCCGAGAUGAGUACACCCUUAUCAUGGGUAGCAAACAGCAGUACUGACAAAGAUUCUGCUUUUGAGGACAAAUUUUGUUGGUCUCACUUUCAAGAGUAUUUCGACUUUAGUGUUCCAAGACGACUCCCAGUUCAGUUCGAGGAUCCAUAUUCAUUUUUGUUGAAUUGUUCUCCAAGGAAAAAAGUUCCUAUUGGACCAGAUCAUCAGACUGAAGUUCCACAAUGGGAUCCGAAUGCUGACAGGAAAGACACUUUAUGUCCCAAAUAUGUUGAAAAUGAAAAUGAAGAAAAACUGAUGGGAACAUGUAUCAUCCCAAUGCCUGGUUUAAAUGUAUGUACAUUGCCGAGCAAACUGUAGCUGUCUGGACGCUGGUUGCAUACAAUGUGUACGACAACAUAUAAAAGAAGCACGAGAAAAGUUAAGAUACACAAUUGGAGAUAAGAAUUUCGCAGAGUUGGGAUUUUUCAACAUGGGAGAGGAGGUAGCAUCCAGCUGGACUGAAGAAGAUGAACAAAUUUUUCAUCAGGUCAUUUAUUCUAAUCCAGUGUUGCUUGGUAAAAAUUUUUUGGAAACACCUUUUUGUUGUGUUCCCUAACCGAACAAAGAAGGAAAUUAUCAGCUAUUAUUUCAAUGUCUUCAUGCUCCGGAGACGGGCUUUUCAAAACAGAUCUAAUCUGUUGGCCAUAGAUAGUGAUGAUGAUGAAUGACAUGGCACUGAUGGAGGAUUCUAUCAAGCUGGAGAAGAAGAUGAAGACUCUGCGGUCGAAUCUUUUAGUGAUGAAGAUGUUCUCACGGGGUAUGGUGAUGACUCUUCCUCCGAAAGUAUAAGCAGGCACAAGGAGGACUAUGGUAAUGCCAUUUCUGUCGGGGAAGGGACGGGGAAUGUGGAGAUGUUACUGAGAUGAACAGUAAAAGAGUUUAAAUGCCCUGAUAAGAAACUUAGAAGUCAAAAGUUUUGAUAGUAAACUUGGUUAAUAUCCUACUAUUACACAUUGAAAUGUAGAAGAAAAAGGCUUCACGUUGAAGAAUGAAAAUGUUGUUGCUCUUCAUUUUUGUAUUGAUCACAUAAUUUGCUUACUGGAUUGGUUCAUAAUAUUCAUUUUCAA